rnacentral:rRNA from 1 species
GACGAACGCUGGCGGCGUGCUUAACACAUGCAAGUCGAACGGAAAGGCCCUGCUUGCAGGGUGCUCGAGUGGCGAACGGGUGAGUAACACGUGGGUGAUCUGCCCCUUACUUUGGGAUAAGCCUGGGAAACUGGGUCUAAUACUGGAUAGGACCAUGCUGUAGGUGGUGUGGUGGAAAGAUUAGUUUCGGUAAGGGAUGAGCUCGCGGCCUAUCAGCUUGUUGGUGGGGUAAUGGCCUACCAAGGCGUCGACGGGUAGCCGGCCUGAGAGGGUGGACGGCCACAUUGGGACUGAGAUACGGCCCAGACUCCUACGGGAGGCAGCAGUGGGGAAUAUUGCACAAUGGGCGCAAGCCUGAUGCAGCGACGCCGCGGGGGGGAUGACGGCCUUCGGGUUGUAACCUCCUUUCAGCCAUGACGAAGCCCUUGUGGUGACGGUAGUGGUAGAAGAAGCACCGGCUAACUACGUG